AAGCUCAGGAGGGAUAACGCC
rnacentral:miRNA from 1 species